CCUACGGGACGCAGCAGUGGGGAAUAUUGGGCAAUGGGGGAAACCCUGACCCAGCGACGCCGCGUGAGGGAAGAAGUAUUUCGGUAUGUAAAGCUCUAUCAGCAGGGAAGAAGAUGACGGUACCUGACCAAGAAGCCCCGGCUAACUACGUGCCAGCAGCCGCGGUAAUACGUAGGGGGCAAGCGUUAUCCGGAUUUACUGGGUGUAAAGGGAGCGCAGACGGCAGUGCAAGUCUGGAGUGAAAGCCCGGGGCCCAACCCCGGAACUGCCCUGGAAACUGUGCGGCUAGAGUACUGGAGGGGCAG
rnacentral:rRNA from 1 species